UCCAUUAUUAUCGAGCUUGUCUCGGAUUUUAAUUGAAGAAGAUUUGUAGUUAAAUGGAUCAGGUUGUAGCUCCAGUGUUUGAGAUUACUUAACACGACAAUAGGGAUCUCAUUAAAUUAAUUCUAUAUGUUAUUCCAAUAUAUUUCUAAUCUGUUCAAUAUACAACAAUACAGCGGGGUUGUUUUAUCUAAUCAUUCAUUAUUAUAUAUUUUUAAAGAUCCCAGAAGAGCAGAUUAAAGUUUUAUAUCCAUAAAAGUGGAUAAUUCAUUAAAGUUAAAUUUAUUAAUUCUAUCAAUAAAGGGCUUUGGGGUAAGUAUGAUCUGAGGUUAAUUUUCGGUUAACUAAUACGAUGGAAACGUGUCAGUUCCAUGACGCCGAUAAAUUAAUUAGUAACUCGUCUC
rnacentral:rRNA from 1 species